CUCAGAAUGGUCCGAAAAGUCACCUUGAGUUCUCAUGGGAACAUUGAUUGGGAGCUACAGCUGAGAGCAGCCACUGCCAGGGCUCCCAAGGGAAAACCUCUCUGUGCCACGAUGCAGAGUAGCUCCAUCAAAGCCUGAGCAAACCUUUGGCCAUGGCUGUGUGACUGUCCAGCUGAAAAUGGGGACAAUCCUCCCAGAUUUCUUCUUGCUGAGCAGAUCUGUGUCUGUGACAGGGCAGGGAUGGGGAAGGGAUGGAUGAAAGGAUCUCCAAUCCCAGAGGACACACUCCAGGACAGCAGCUCCCAUGGAAGUUGGGCUGCAGGUGCUGUUAUUACGAAGAAAAGCAUCCUAUUAUCUCCCAUUCCACAGCCAGUUUGGCUUGGGGGAGUCCAGCAUGAUUAAUAAUUCAUGAAAUUGCAUUGCCAGAAACAAGAAACCAGCAGGAAAGACUUCAAUCAGACUCUGUAAAAUUAGAGGGGCUGAUUUGCUUCAGUCUAUUCACUCCAUUCGAUACAACCACUAUUAAAUGUUGAGUAAAAUCCUUGCUUUAGGUAAAUCCUUCCCCAGAGGAAAAGCAAGACAGCCAAGGAGGGAAGACAGGAACCCAGGAGAAAAUCCUGUAUUGGCUCCAAGUCACAGGAGGUGCAGUUGUCCUUCCCUGGUCACUUAGGGGUGAUAAAUGGGAAGCCCAUGAAUUAUGAGUGAGGGUCUCACAUUUCAUGGAGAGCUGUUCCCCAGAGUGGGGAUGUGUGGGAAAUAGGAAUAAGGACAUUUUUCACAUUUGUUCACCAGAAAGCACUCUGGGAAGGAUUAGAUGUGGGCUGGAGAGUUGGCUGAUGGUUGCCUUGUGCAUUGAUUGGGGUGAUGCCUUUUUGGGGCUACCUAAAAGCAGAGGCCAGGCAAAAUUAAGGGAAUAAAAAUUGGUUCUGUUUAUUGAAGGGCCUUCUAAAGGCACAUUUUGGGCAGACAAAGCCCCUGAGGGGCUACACCCAAAAAUGGACCACGGGUCAGGGGUUUUCACACUUUUAAAUUUUGGUCUGUUUGCAUAUUGGGGGUUAAUCUUCCAAUAGCAUCUUCAGGUAAUGAAGUCAUUGACCCCAAGUUUGCUCCCCCUCAACUCAUUUUUGUUGUGGGGCCUGAGGCAGUGAGGUGUCCUUGGUUGCCAGACCUGGAGAGGAAUUGUUGUGUCUGCCCAAAAUGGGAGAACAGCAGCUAACACUGUACAUGGAGUUUAGAGUUACACACUAAAGAAUUGCAGGAUUACAAAUACAUGAGAAAAAUAAAAGCUAAAAUCCUGUCCAUGGGAGACCUGUGGACACCACACAGAGAUCUGACUGGAUAAAGGAGCACACCAAUAACAACACCACAGUGGCAGGCAGCCAAUGAGUGCUUGUUUUGGUUAAAUUCUGCUACGUUUGGUUAAGUUUGGUUAAGUUUAGGGUAUAAAAAGACUCAGUUUGUUUCAAUAAAUGAUCUUCUUUGGAGCAACAA